rnacentral:lncRNA from 1 species
ACGAAUUUUGGUCCCUAAGAGACCUCAUGAUGCAGAUGUAUGCAAUGCAAAUGGUAACACUCAGUGGGGGUAUAUAUCCAUAAAAAGAAAAAAGAAAUCCGGAGAAACUAAAAAGAAAUCCAAAGGAGUAAUACACUCACUAGGGAGACAGAGACUCCGGGGGAGUAAAGGGUGAAAACGCGUGAGCAGGUCACAACUCAAAGCUUGGGGAACAUAAUUCCAAAGGGAAUAAAUCC